AGGAACCAGGAGGAACCAGGCUGUGCCAGGAGGAACCAGGAGGAAACAGGCCAUGCCAGCAGGAACCAGGCCGUGCCAGCAAGAACCAGGAGAAACCAGGCCGUGCCAGCAGGAACCAG